rnacentral:tRNA from 1 species
GCCUGGUUGGUUCAGUUGGUAGAGCAUGUGACUUUCUAUGUUUCAGGGUUGUGGGUUUGAGCCUCACACUGGGUG